rnacentral:rRNA from 1 species
AGAACGAACGCUGGCGGCAGGCUUAACACAUGCAAGUCGAGCGCCCCGCAAGGGGAGCGGCAGACGGGUGAGUAACGCGUGGGAAUCUACCCUUUUCUACGGAAUAACGCAUGGAAACGUGUGCUAAUACCGUAUGAGCCCUUCGGGGGAAAGAUUUAUCGGGAAAGGAUGAGCCCGCGUUGGAUUAGCUAGUUGGUGGGGUAAAGGCCUACCAAGGCGACGAUCCAUAGCUGGUCUGAGAGGAUGAUCAGCCACAUUGGGACUGAGACACGGCCCAAACUCCUACGGGAGGCAGCAGUGGGGAAUAUUGGACAAUGGGCGCAAGCCUGAUCCAGCCAUGCCGCGUGAGUGAUGAAGGCCCUAGGGUUGUAAAGCUCUUUCACCGGUGAAGAUAAUGACGGUAACCGGAGAAGAAGCCCCGGCUAACUUCGUGCCAGCAGCCGCGGUAAUACGAAGGGGGCUAGCGUUGUUCGGAAUUACUGGGCGUAAAGCGCACGUAGGCGGACAUUUAAGUCAGGGGUGAAAUCCCGGGGCUCAACCCCGGAACUGCCUUUGAUACUGGGUGUCUAGAGUAUGGAAGAGGUGAGUGGAAUUCCGAGUGUAGAGGUGAAAUUCGUAGAUAUUCGGAGGAACACCAGUGGCGAAGGCGGCUCACUGGUCCAUUACUGACGCUGAG